GUCUAAAGUCUGAAGAGUCGAGAGUCCAUUUAAGUGAGCAACAAAUACACACUCAUACAGAAUCAUAGAUAGACGCCGAAGCACACACUCUGACACUACCCUAAUUCCUAACUCAGCUGCUCACUGCGACAAAUUCAGCGGCGAGCCCACCACAACGGCUGCUCAGCUCCUCUCUAACUCUCUCCCUCCCUCCCGGCUCCAGUGCCCACAGCUGCAACCCCCAAUUUCUAGGCCUGUUCUUGAAUUGGGUGGCUCAGUAAAGAGGUUUUGCUUUUAUUAUAUAAAUCAUCUCUUCUGUUUUUUAUAUCAAACAGUUCAGAGUGACCGCGGAUUGUUUCUUGCAAGAGCUGUAAUGCAGACAGAUGGGUUUGAUUACUUAAAGCAGAGCUGCCCUCUGUCAUCUCUGAAUUGUUGGAGUGUGUGGCGAGGAUCAGUGAGCAUCCUGUUAUUUCAUUUGGUUACAGGAAUGAACCUUCCCUUGACGGCGCUGAUAUGAAUGGCAGGCGAGUGAAACAAAGAAUUUACUGAGCGAAAAUCAUUAAGCAUUCUGUUAUUUCAUGUAAUUACAGGAAUAGACCUUCCUCUGAUGGUGCUGAGUGCUGACAUGAAUGGCAGGCGAGGGAAACAAAGAAUUUACUGAGCAAAGAAACAGCGUAGUCGGCUCAAAAUUGUUAUCCAGUAAUGAAUGUAAUCUCUAGAACUUUUAGUAACCUUUGGAUUGGAUAAUAUCCUCCAAGUCGUGUAUAUAUUAGCGUUAUGGCUUUUAGCCAAAUCCUUUAAUUGGCAUGUCUAUAUUAAGGGCCAGUUAGUAACUUUUGGAUUGGAUAAUAUCCUUUAAGGAAUA